rnacentral:rRNA from 1 species
AGUGCGGCAUCCCUACACGAUUUAAGUCGAACGGCAGCAUGACUUAGCUUGCUAGUGUUGAUGGCGAGUGGCGAACGGUGAGUAACGCGUAGUGAAUAUACCCUGAAGUGGGGGAUAACCUGGUGGAAACUCAGUGCUAAUACCGCAUAAUGUCUGAGGACGAAAGCUGGGGACCUUCGGGCCUGGUGCUUUAGGAAUAGCCUGCGUCCGAUUAGCUAGUUGGUGGGGUAAAGGCCUACCAAGGCUGUGAUCGGUAGCUGGUCUGAGAGGACGAACAGCCACACUGGGACUGAGACACGGCCCAGACUCCUACGGGAGGCAGCAGUGGGGAAUAUUGGACAAUGGGGGCAACCCUGAUCCAGCGAUGCCGCGUGUGUGAAGAAGGCCUGAGGGUUGUACAGCACUUUCAGCGGGGAGGAGGGCUGAUUGGUUAAGAGCUGAUGAGUUGGACGUUACCCGCAGAAGAAGCACCGGCUAACUCCGUGCCAGCAGCCGCGUGUAAUAACGGAGGAGAUGCGCAGCAGUUAA